CUCGCCACACAAUCGACUCGAGUUAUUGACGAGGCCACAGAUCGGGAAGGCCCGCGAUGCGAGAGCAGCGCGACUCGACGUCCGCCCCGCUCUAGCGGUUCAGCGUGUCCAUUAACAGCGCGACGG